rnacentral:rRNA from 1 species
AUUGAACGCUGGCGGCAGGCCUAACACAUGCAAGUCGAACGAGUGGCGGACGGGUGAGUAAUGUCUGGGCAACUUCCUGAUGGAGGGGGAUAACUACUGGUAACGGUAGCUAAUACCCCAUACCAUCGGAUGUGCCCAGAUGGGAUUAGCUAGUAGGUGGGGUAAAGUCUCACCUAGGCGACGAUCCCUAGCUUGUCUGAGAGGAUGACCAGACACACUGGAACUGAGCCGCGGACCAGACUCCUACGGGAGGCAGCAGUGGGCAAUAUUGGACAUGGGGCGGAAACCUGAUGCAGCAAUGCCGCGUGUAGGAAGAGGGCGUUGGGGUUGUGAAGUACAUUCGACGGGGAGGCGGUAGGCGCAGAAGAAGCACCGGCUAAAUACGUGCCAGCAGCCGCGGUAAUUC